AAGACGAGCCACACGAACGUUAUUCGGAAUUACUGGGCUUAAAGGGUGCGUAGGCUGCGCGGAAAGUUGGGUGUGAAAUACCUCGGCUCAACCGAGGAACUGCGCCCAAAACUACCGUGCUCGAGGGAGAUAGAGGUGAGCGGAACUUACGGUGGAGCGGUGAAAUGCGUUGAUAUCGUAAGGAACACCCGUGGCGAAAGCGGCUCACUGGGUCUUCUCUGACGCUGAUGCACGAAAGCUAGGGGAGCAAACG
rnacentral:rRNA from 1 species